rnacentral:rRNA from 1 species
UACGUAGGGGGCUAGCGUUAUCCGGAAUUACUGGGCGUAAAGGGUGCGUAGGUGGUUUCUUAAGUCAGAGGUGAAAGGCUACGGCUCAACCGUAGUAAGCCUUUGAAACUGGGAAACUUGAGUGCAGGAGAGGAGAGUGGAAUUCCUAGUGUAGCGGUGAAAUGCGUAGAUAUUAGGAGGAACACAAGUUGCGAAGGCGGCUCUCUGGACUGUAACUGACACUGAGGCACGAAAGCGUGGGGAGCAAACAGGAUUAGAUACCCCCGUAGUCCCUGAGCGGG